UCAUUCAGGCAAUAUCACAAACACAUAGAGCUCAAACCUCUCAAUUGCAAAUGGAGAGAACAUUUGGGGAACGCCUUCAAAACUGUCAUAGUUCCCACUUUAUCGCGGUCACUCCUAGUCUCUUAGCCUCUUCAGCCGUCGCCGGGCCAUAUUACUGCCACCAUCUCCCGGUGUCAUCCAAACUCGCUCAAACUUUUUCGCCAACUCCUCAACUUCCGCAGUAAGUAAGAAAAGAUACAGCAUCUAGUUCCUCUUGGCUUCUCUCCAUCAUCCCCGCUGCGGAGGAAAUCAGAAACCAUCGGCCGUUUCAUGAACGACGAUCACCCUAUAAAAGUAUCUUUACCGGUGGCCAUCGUGUCCGACUAGCCGUCGAC
rnacentral:lncRNA from 1 species